AAACAUUAAAUAGUCAAGGCUCAGGAAUGAUACACUAGAAACCAUAGACCAUAUGUUGGUCGGCUACACAAACAUGUUCGUGUAUGCCUUGAGGACUCCAAAUAAUGACAAGCCUAACAAACAUAAAUAAUAAAAUGGUAAAAUAGUAUUUAACAUCAUGGACAUUGAAGUACAAAACUGUUGCAUAUUAGGGCCGUAUCUAGGAGGAAAGGUAGAAGGUACAUCCUUAUCCAUCGGAGCAUGCAUUGAGGAAAUAGCUGCAAUCUUCUUGUCCGUC
rnacentral:lncRNA from 1 species